rnacentral:rRNA from 1 species
GCAGUUAAAAAGCUCGUAGUUGGAUUUCGGAAGGUCCUUAGCAAUCCGCCCCUUCGGGGAGCGGGUUGCUGGCCUCCUAUGUUCCUAACGGUCCUCGUCCGCGAGGGCGGGGAAUCAACCGCUAGGAUCGUUUACUUUGAGGAAAUUAGAGUGUUCAAAGCAGGCGUAACUCGCCUCCGAAUACGUUAGCAUGGGAUAAUGGAAUACGACUUCGGUCUUGUUUCGUUGGUUUCGCUUGGCUGAAGUAAUGAUUGAUAGGGACAGUUGGGGGCAUUAGUAUUUAGUUGUCAGAGGUGAAAUUCUAGGAUUUACUAAAGACUGACCAAUGCGAAAGCAUUUGCCAAGGAUGUUUUCAUUAAUCAAGAACGAAAGUAGGGGGAUCGAAGACGAUCAGAUACCGUCGUAGUCUCUACCGUAAACUAUGCCGACCAGGGAUCCGGAGAGUUUGCAUGGAUGACUCCCCGGGCACCUUGUGAGAAAUCAUAAGUGUUUGGGUUUUGGGGGGAGUAUGGUCGCAAGGCUGAAACUUAAAGGAAUUGACGGAAGGGCACCACCAGGAGUGGAACCUGCGGCUUAAUUUGACUCAACACGGGGAAACUUACGAGGUCAGGACACUGUGAGGAUUGACAGAUUGAAAG